AAAUCCUCUGAACAUUAGAAGGAUUCAAGCAAAAUAAAAAAAAAAAAAGAACGUAUGAGAAUGAUCUCACAUGGUUAACUAAUCAAUCAUUGCAAUAUGGAUUAUCUAAAUCUCUACUUCUUCUUCUACUCUGUCGUCGUUUGUUAAUCACAGAACGAAUUUUGAACCCUGGAUCAAAUUGGGAAUGAAAAAUCGAACAGUAUUACAUGAGUCGAUUAAGGUUAGUAAAUACAGAGAUGCUACAAUGAAUCAGGAACUAAUUAGCGCCUCUAAUGAAUUUUUUGUUGAACUCAUUCAAACAAUUUAGGAUUUUCUUUUGUAAGGGCACCAACCUGAUGCCGUGAAAAACAGGAGAACAAGGAUGUUGUUGCACCCAAAAAAAAGGAUGUUGUUGCACCUUCCUCAUUCUCGCUGCUGGGCAUGGUAUGAUGAGUUGGUUGAGUGUAAAUUCGAAUUUGGUCUUCUGGUUUUGGUAAGAGAUUUCCACUCCAUGAAAACAGCAAGAACUUGUGAUGUUGCCGUCGAUUGGGAGAUAUAUGGAUGGAAGGAGACAUGGUAGGCCAAGGAAUGAUCAGCAGACUCGUGCAUAUAUCACCAACAAGAUGCACAUUAGAUGCUUGUAAAAAUGUCUGAACCACUUGUUUUCUCGUCGGGAAGUAAAUUAAGCAGCUUACAUAACAAUUGUUAAAACUUUUAAGACGAACACAUUAAUGAAGCUCUCUACGAAUUUUUGUUGUUGGAUUAUAGACAUAGUAUUCAAAACUAGUAUGAAGAUAGCAAUGAUCAUCGUUAAUAGCUAUCUUUUUAACUUCUGAUAUCAUUUAGUUGCCAAACUUGCUUAUUAGCUUUUUAACUUUUAAGUCACCCAGUUACCGAACUAACUUGAUCAUAAUUUUACUUCUCAGAAGUACUUCUGAGAAGUUCAGAAGCAGAAGAAAAUCUGCUUCUGAUACCCGCUAUAAAUCAUAGCCCGAGCGUAACUAUUUUCUUCCUCUUUUUUAACUCACUUCGAUCUUCUUCUGUUCUCGAUCGAGCGCUGAUGGAGGGGAAUCCGCCAGGUGAUCUGAAAUCACUAUUCUUCUUUCACUUGUUUUUUGGUUGCUAUCAUCAACAGGAGAAGGAAGCCAUUGAAUUCACCAUCUCUGUAACACCCCCUUUAUCUCUUUACUGUUUUUAUUAACAAAGAUUCAAUUUGAGAUUUGGUUUUUUUUGUCGAAUGCGGAGAAAGACAUAGCUGAGUAUAUCAAGAAGGAAUUAAGAAACAUGGUCCUACUUGGAAUUGUAUUGUUGGUCGCGAUUUCGGUAUCACUUUCUUACUUUCUUUCUUCAUUUUGUUUAAUGAACUUUAGUUGUUUUUGUAAAUGACCCAGUGAAAUUUAAUUAGGGUUGAAUUUGGAUCAGUCUGCUUAGAGAUGUUCCGUUGCAACGAAUAUUAAAUUGCCCUUUAUAAUCAUUAAGAUAAUAAAAACACUUGAUGGACCGGGAAAGGAUUGAGAUACGGUGUUCUUGCCCUCCCCCGGGCCCCGCCUGGCAUUUUUAAAAUCUCAUUGUAUCUUUAAAUGCCUCAUGGUCCAAGUUCUAUACGUUCUUUAAGUUUGUGUAGAACUGUUGUAGAGUUAAUGUAAAUGGAAUGUUUGGCUCCUCAAGCAUUAACAGCAUCAUUACGUAUGAAUUUUGUGUCUGGUAGUGUGUUUGAAAGUAAGUCAUUGUGAUAUGUGUACAUUCAUUAUUAAACUUCUCUAUGUAUAGUCAUAGUGAAAUGUUUUUUUUUUCUUUUCUCACUCAUGUCUUGAGAGACCUCAAUUGGGACUACCACCACUGUCAUUUACCAUGCAGUUAAUGGCCAACGCCAUCAUCCACUAGUCACUUCCACAACUGCUUAUUUCCCUUGGUGCCAUUACCACACUUCCUUGUUGCGCCCAAGGUUCCAUCAGUUGAACUGUUGCUGUCACUUUCAUAUUGCUACCACAACUUCACCACCACCAUCUCUAAUUGAAAAUGUUGGCUUGAUAUAGGGAAGUGACAAGCAAAGAUAUUAAGACAUAGCGAUGUCCUAGUCCUAGAUUUCAUGACAUAAGAUCAAUGAUUAUAUGAAAAAAGGCAGGGAACAGCAGAUAUAUCUAAAUUAAAUGCCCUAAUUAGAAGGAUUUCAUUCAAUGUGUUGGACUUAUAGUGCAAGUUUGUUCUUUGUAGAUUCUCUGUAUUCUUUCUUGCAUAAUUUUUAUGUACUGCGCAUCUUCUUCGUGUCUGUCAAUUGAUAAGCAGUGGUAUGGUAUACAUAUGGCAUCCGUGUUCAUGCAGCACUACGCCCUAGUUUUGAUAUUCAUCUAACAUAGUCCAAAUUCUGUCGUUCCACACACUGUUUGAACCUUCAUGCUCAGGUGGCAUAAUGUUGAAUCAAAAUAUCAUCCUGCAUAUAUAAUUACAAGAUAUUCUUUGUAGUGUUACCAAAUUAGUAUCAGUAUUGAUACAUGUUGAGUUUGUAGUGUCACAAUCACUGAUUAACUAUAGUACACUGAAAAAUAAGAUGUCAUUGUAAUUUAUGCGACCUUGUUAAAGAGGUACCCAAUUAAUAUUAUGCGACCGGGUUAAAGAGGUAUCAAAUUUAUAUUAUGCGACCUUGUAUAAGUGGUACCCAAUUAAUAUUAUGCGACCUCCUUAAAGAGAUACGCGACCUCCUUAGCUAUUAUGCUAGGUUCCCUAAAUGACAUUCCACUGGAUAGUUUCUUGUAUUAAUAGAGGUAAUGGUUGAGUUUCAAUUUAGUACGCCUCUGAACAUUAUAUUGGUAUUCAUUCCCAUAUUUCUAAUCUGAUUGCCACAAGUUAUGACCCAGAGUAUAAAAAUCUCGCACCAGCAGCAGCAGACAAUGUGUGAAAUAUGACCAAGGGUGGCCUUUUGGUGUGCAAUCUAGGUGCAGCGAAGGCACAAACGACGCUUGUUCAGGAAUCACCAAAAGAAGCCAGCAUCUCGACAUCAAAAAAAGUUGACGAAAUGUCAGAAUCUGAUUAGUGUUUCAGAAAUAUUAUGGUCCUGUAAGAAUGAAGCACUGUACUUUAGGUAUUCACCUCUGUUUGUACACAUGGCUUCUGGAGAUUUAGACGAUAAAGAAUUUUAUUAAUACGUUGCUAAUCAUGCACAUCUUUUGAACGAUUUUUUGGAACUGUAUAAGUUAGCUGAAAAUCAAUGUAUUGAUGAUUCUGAUAAGGCUCAACUCUUACUGUGGAGUGAUACUGUGAAACAAGAACUGGAAAGGCACAAUUCUUUCGUCGAAAAACUGGGUUUAUCCCCUACAAAGAGACCGCUCUUCGCCCUCCAACAUUGAAAUACGUAGAGUUCUUGUUAGCAAUUGAUUCUGGUAAUAUACAAGUUCAUGGAAUUCCAAAACAGCUGUCAAAAAUUCCUGCUUAUACUCUUGGUGCUAUGACGUAGGCCUGGGACUCUAUGCCUUUCUUAGUAAGAUGGUGCAGAAACUUGUUAGUCCUUAUCAUAAUUCUCACCCAGGCAGCAAGUAGAUCAAAGAAUACUCUUACGAAAGUUUCAAGACAUCUUAUCAGCAUGCUGAGGUAGUGCUUGAUAACCUAUGCAACUCUUUGGCCCAGGAAGAGAUUGGAGUGAAGAUCUAACAAGGUCUCGUGAAAUGAGCCUUGAGAAUGAGUAGAGAUAUCGAAGCAAGAGAUUUGUUUUUUGGGUUAGUCUGAUGAUUGAAUUUUCGAAUGAGUUUAGCAAAAUCUGAAAUUUACAAAGCUUAUAAUUUAGUGUUUUAUUCUUUCUGAAAAAGGUCUCGUGAUAACUGUGAA